rnacentral:rRNA from 1 species
CACAUGCAAGUCGAGGGGCAGCGUGGUCUUAGCUUGCUAAGGCCGAUGGCGACCGGCGCGCGGGUGAGUAACACGUAUCCAACCUGCCGUCUACUCUUGGACAGCCUUCUGAAAGGAAGAUUAAUACAAGAUGGCAUCAUGAGUCCGCAUGUUCACAUGAUUAAAGGUAUUCCGGAAGACGAUGGGGAUGCAUUCCAUUACAUACUAGGCGGCGUAACGGCCCACCUAGUCUUCUAUGGAUAGGGGUUCUGAGAGGAAGGUCCCCCACAUUGGAACUGACACACGCGCCCAAACUCCUACGGGAGGCAGCAGUGAGGAAUAUUGGACAAUGGGCGAGAGCCUGAACCACCCAAGUAGAGUGAAGGAUGACUGCCCUAAGGGUUGUAAACUUCUUUUAUAAAGGAAUAAAGACGGGUAUGGAUACCCGUUUGCAUGUACUUUAUGAAUAAGGAUCGGCUAACUCCGUGCCAUCACCCGCGAUAAUACGAACGAUCCGAGCGUUAUCCGGAUUUAUUGAGUUUAAAGGGAGCGCACAUGGAUGUUUAAGUCCCCUGUGAAAGUUUGCAGCUCAACCGUAAAAUUGCAGUUGAUACUGGAUAUCCUGAGUGCAGUUGAGGCAGGCGGAAUUCGUGGUGUAGCGGUGGAAUGCUUAGAUAUCACGAAGAACUCCGAUUGCGAAGGCAGUCUGCUAAUCUGCAACUGACAUUGAGGCUCGAAAGUGUGGGUAUCAAACACGAUUAGAUACUCUGGUAGUCCACACGGUAAACGAUGAAUACUCGUUGUUUGCGAUAUACGGCAAGCGGCCAAGUGAAAGCGUUAAGUAUUCCACGUGGGGAGUACGCCGGCAUCGGUGAAACUCAAAGGAAUUGACAGGGGCCCGCACAAGCGGAGGAACAUGUGGUUUAAUUCGAUGAUACGCGAGGAACCUUAGCCGGGUUUAAAUUGCAGAUGAAUUACGGUGAAAGCCGUAAGCCGCAAGGCAUCUGUGAAGGUGUUGUAUGGUUGUCGUCAGCUCGUGCCGUGAGGUGUCGGCUUAAGUGCCAUAACGAGCGCAAUCCUUGUUGUCAGUUUCUAACAGGUUAUGUUGAGGACUCUGACAAGACUUCCAUGUUAAGAUGUGAGGAAGGUGGGGAUGAGGUCAAAUCAGCUCGGCCCUUGCGUCCGGGUCUUCACACGUGUUACAAUGGGGGGUACAGAGGGCCGAUUCCACGGGAGUGGAUGCCAAUCCCAAAAACCUCUCUCAGUUCGGACUGGAGUCUGCAACCCGACUCCACGAAGUUGGAUUCGAUAGUAAUUGUGCAUCAGUCAUGGCGCGGUGAAUACGUUCCCGGGCCUUGUACACUCCGCCCGUCAAGCCAUGGGAGCCGGGGGUACCUGAAGUGCGUAACCGCGAGGAGCGCCCUAGGGUAAAACUGGUGACUGG